AGGUCAUCAUGAAGAAGUUACGAGCAUCUGUAAGGAGUCACAAGAAGCAACCAGCCAACCACAAGAGAAGGGGAAAAUGUGCUCUUAGCAGCAGCCAGGCCAAACCUUCUGGCCUCGAUGGCCUGGCCAAGCAGAAGAGAGAGGAGUUACUGAAGACCCCUGUCUCUCCAUAUCACCUCUUCAGUGACAUAGCCGAUGUCACAGCUUUCCGAAGGAACCUGCUCAGCUGGUAAAGGAGGAGGCCAACUUGGACAGGAGAGCCUAUGCAGUCUGGGUGUCAGAGGUCAUGCUGCAGCAGACCCAAGUUGCCACAGUGAUCGACUAUUAUACCCGAUGGAUGCAGAAGUGGCCAACGCUACAAGACCUGGCCAGUGCUUCCCUGGAGGAGGUGAACCAGCUCUGGUCUGGCCUGGGCUACUAUUCUCGAGGUCGUCGGCUCCAAGAAGGAGCUAGGAAGGUGGUAGAGGAGCUAGGAGGCCACGUACCACGUACAGCAGAGACCCUGCAGCAGCUCCUGCCUGGGGUGGGGCGGUACACGGCUGGAGCCAUCGCUUCUAUUGCCUUUGACCAGGUAACCGGUGUGGUGGAUGGGAACGUCAUACGGGUGCUGUGCCGUGUCCGCGCCAUUGGUGCUGAUCCCACCAGCUCCUUUGUCUCUCAUCAUCUCUGGGACUUAGCCCAGCAGCUGGUGGACCCAGCCCGGCCUGGGGAUUUCA
rnacentral:lncRNA from 1 species